rnacentral:rRNA from 1 species
CCGUGCGAAGGUAGCGCAAUCACUUGUCUCUUAAAUGGAGACCUGUAUGAAUGGCAUAACGAGGGCUUGACUGUCUCCUCUUUCAAGUCAAUGAAAUUGAUCUCCCCGUGCAGAAGCGGGGAUAGACCCAUAAGAACGAGAGACCCUAUGGAGCUUCAGACACUAAAGCAGAUCAUAAUUUACCCCCUAACCAAAAGGACAUACAUUAGAUUAACCCUGCCCUAUUGUCUUUGGUUGGGGCGACCGCGGAGAAACAAAAAACCCCCGCAUGGAUCGAGUGUAUAUACACUCACAACUAAGAGCUACAGCUCUAGUUUACAGAACUUCUGCCCAACUAGAUCCGGCAACGCCGAUCAAUUAACCGAGUUACCCUUGGAUAACAGCGCAAUCUCCUCUUUGAGUCCAUAUCGAACGAGGGGGUUUACGAACCUCAUGUUGGAUCAGGACAUCCUAAUGGUGCAGCCGCUAUUAGGGUUCGUUUGUU